AUGCUCGCUUCGACAGCACAUAUGCUAAAGUUGGAACAAUACAGAGAAGAUUAGCAUGACUCCUGUUCAAGGACCAUAGGCAAAAUUUGUGAAGCAAUCCAUAUUUUG
rnacentral:snRNA from 1 species